GAAAUUAGAAGAGAGGGACCUCUUUCUUUGCGGCUCUAGCAUCUCAUUUUGCAAGACGAUGAAACAGGCAUCUCUAUUCUCUUCGCUGAAGCACGCAACAUCAUUCGCAAGAGACUUUUAGUUCAACAAAUUGCCUAUUAACUCAUGGUUGGAUGCGUUCUCAGCACACAGGCAUAUAGGUGAUGCUAUUAGUAUAGUGACUGGAGAAAUUAGGAUGGUACGAUCUCAUAUGUCUGACCAGAAAAAAAGGGUCUGUUACUUUUUUGAACUGCCAUAGUCAUUUUGGUGGUUUUAUUAUCUUGUAAACAAAAGACACAGCCAAAGGUCUUACAUUUUUUGAGACUCUCAACAUUGUAGGAAUUGAUUCAAUUCGGAACAAAGUACCGCAAGAAAUUUAGCUUUGGGUUCAUAACAAACACAGACAUAUUUCUUUCACACCAAAUAUUGGAGGAGGUGAAGUUGGCAUAUUCUUUAGUUGCCCCGAAGCUUGAAAUGUUGCUGAUGUUGAAUGGAAAGUGCCUCUGGUUAGUUGUGUUGAUGACUUAUAGUUUCCAAUUAUUACACUACUUCAAACUGCACUGUCUUAUAUUGUGCAGGCAUGCUAUGAGGAUAGUCUUAUUGUUGAACUUGAAAUUGCGUCUGGGAAGAAUUCAUUCUUAUAGAAAGAGGUCUUGCACGACUUUGGGUACGUUUAGAUCGGGACAAGAUUCAAGAGACUCCAAAAGAAACAGGGGAGAUAGUUUAA